GGCGUGGCUUGUCACAUUUGCCGAGCAUGGUUUGUACUUAAUUAAAAUCCACACGUUCUACAUAUACGAAGCUGGGUUGCAUUUCAGUACCGUAGCGUGUAAAGCCGAAGCUCCAAUGUAUUUACAGAAGUUCUCCAUCAAAAUGUGUACCAUAUUAACUGAAUCACGGCAAUAGUAGCGUCUGCAGCCUCAUUAGGGACACAACUUUGUACUUAUUCCUUUCUGUAAAGUUGUUACUAAGUAUUGUCACUCACGGAAAGUUUUUGCCUUUUUCCACAAUUACAGUACUUGCUUAUUUGGGCAAUAGAAAGCUUGUUCAGAUUUCGCUGAAGUGUAACUGACGAGGCUGAAGCUGGCUCCUCAUUCACAACUGGUUGCUAGCGCGAACUUUAAAACUAUAGAUAUCACCUAAAUAAUAAUUAGAAUUAAGUCAUCGGAAAAACCUCGCAAGCUUAAUAGUCUUCCGAUCAUUUCCAAACCCUGACGGAUUAAUCACCUUCGCAAGCACCGACCCACGAUCUCCAUUCAAUCAAAAAGGUGCUUCAGCUUUAGAGCCACAGUUUUCCCGUUUCACUCAAUCAAGAUAUUCAGCACACCCUGCUACAUGUGACACCUCUACCCAUGAUGUCCUUGCAUCCAGCUCGCCAUUCUGCCUGUGUCAUCUUCCAUGUAUGAUCCGCUGUCUUACUUCUGGUUGCCUGGCGAUUGGAAGGAGAGUUGGCACCGGCUUGUCAUCACCUCCCUGCUCCCUGGUUGUGUCUCAAAUCUUAUUUGGACAGUGUGACUUGGCACUUAACCAUCUCUCCUAUUUGACUCUACCUGCCGGCCCCUGGAGGUUGGGCUCCCCCUCUGAGUCUGGUCUCUCCCAAGGUUUCUUCCUUCUAGGGAGUUUUUCCUUGCCACUGUUGCCUAUGGCUUAGUUACUGGGGACUUUGGGUGGGGAUGCUUUAAAGCACUUUGAGACGAUGUAAUUUUGUGAUGCACUAUACAAAAAUAAUUUGUUGUUCGGAUUUUCCAGUCCGCCUUAAAUGCUGUGCAGCCGAAUGCAAUGAUGUGAUUGUGCCUGUAGGGGGACUCAUUUAGCGAGGCUGAUCUUCAGAACUUCAUUUGGCUUUCAAUUCGUAUUAAAUGAACACAAUUCUACUGGUGGUGCAGUGGUUAGCAAUGUUGCCUUACACCUCUGGGACCCGGGUUCGAGUCUCCGCCUGGGUCACGUGUGUGAAGUUUGCACGUUCUUCCCUUGUUGUCGUGGGGUUUCCUCCGGGUACUCCAGUUUCCUCCCACAGUCCAAAAACAUGCUGAGGCUAAUUGGAGUUGCUAAAUUGCCCAUAGGUGUGCAUGUGUGAGUGAAUGGUGUGUGUGUGCCCUGCGAUGGGCUGGCCCCCCAUCCUGGGUUGUUCCCUGCCUCGUGCCCAUUACUUCUGGGGUAGGCUCCGGACUCCCCGUGACCCAGUAGGAUAAGCGGUUUGGAAAAUGGAUGGAUGGAUUCUACUGACUUGUUACCACUUUGAGGAAAGAAUAUAUCUGAGCAGUUUCAAUAAUAGUAUGUGUGUGUAUUUCAUCAGAAAAUGGGACAAACGCAAACAUCUUUCCACUCCCAAUCAGGCCUGGAAAUAUACCCAGUCAGGGAAAUAUGAACUUCUCAAUACAUGUCAGGUAUCCCAGUAUGUAGAAAAAGGGGCAUUGUUCUGGCCCAGACUGAUUUAAUACAUUAAAAAUCAGAUGGAACCAAGGCUUGUCAUAGUAUAGUGCACAAAGGUGUGAAUGAGAAGCCAGGUUUCCAUGUCCAUUUUAAUACCAUAAACCUCUCUGUGCCGGACAAAUAUCAACUUCUCCGUACACGUCAGGUAUCUAACUAUAUAGAAAGUGACAUUGUCCUGGUCCAGACUGAUUUAUUACUUUAAAAAUCAAUUUGUAAAAAAAAAAUCAUCAGUAAUAUGACACCAACCCCAGGAAACUGUGAUGUGGCAGGGACCAAACCUGCCCCAGACAGCUACCACACCUUUGGUAUUCACUACUUGACCCAGGAACAAUGUCUCACGGCACAGCAGGCUACAGUUCUAGGGGUUGAGAUGGAUGGCAGCAAGGACUUGCCUAAGAAAUAAAGCAGUCCUCCACAAGGGGGGGUGGAGGGAGUUAAAAAAAAAAAAAAAGAUUUCCUUCAGGUGCUGCAUGGGUUUUUCAAAAUCUGCUGCAUGUGCUGGCUGAGGACUGACAGGGUGUCGAUUAGAGGGUCAAGAUGAACGUUGGCUCCAGAAAUAUCCAUACAUGCCCCAGAGUUCAGCAGCUGGUCCAGCUUCAGAAUGCAAGGAUCUUGAACAUCAGCCUGUCAGAAUUCAUACGUGACCUCAAAUUUGCAGGAGCCUCUUUCAUCUUUGCCUGUUUGCCAGUCAAUGACCUAUUAUGGCAGGCCUCACUGCCAGGAAAUACACUAAGUCAGAUCAAUCGUGGACCCCAAGGGGGUGUUCCACCAAGCAAGAUUUCUCAAUUAGGUUAACUUAAGAUAGAAGUUAUGAUUGCCCAAUAGGAAUUCUCCUUGCCUUACUCUUAUCUAGCUUAAGUAAACCUAGUAAACUGAAAAAUCCUGCUUUGUGGAACAUCCCACAGGUUAACAAGGGCAUGGUGGUACUCAGCCUCAACACAGCAGUCCACAAACAUUCCAUGGGUGUGCCGCCGGUGUGCUGUUUUUGAGAAUACGUCUAAUCCCAAUUCGGUAGUGUCCCCAACCUUGUGCCCCAUAAUUCCUCACACAGACUCUCUGAGACCAUCUGACCAUGAUUGUGGUAGAUUGAUUCAAUUGAUAUCUUGAGCUUCAAUUUCUACACAGCUGAAGUGUUACAAGGUAAUUACUCUCCACCCUGUUAAUUAUUGUAAGUAAUUAUUUAACAGACUGUUUUGUUAUUACUUAGUGUAGGUUAUAGCUAAUGUAUACUGUUUCUUUCAGAUACGCUGAAGAAAUUUACGUAGAACAGCAUUCAUUCAAUCAUUCAAUCAAUCAACUGACCGUCAUUUAUUUAGCACUGAUUUAACCACAGGGUUUAAUGACAUUUAUAAGAAAGGAAUUUUAAAAAGUAUACAGAGAAAAAUUUAAUAAAAAUAGAAUCAGUGUCAGCCUAAGGCCCCGAAUAAAGGUUAGCAAAAUAAGGCUAGGGUUAGGUUUAGUAAAAGUAUAGCAUUUUCAGGCAUCAAUAUGUGCUCCUCCAUAGGAUAGGAAACCACAGUUUAGCAUGCCUUAGUAGUAUAUUUCCUAAUUGCCAACAGCCUGUAGUAUCACCAUAAGGUCCCAAAUUAGGGUUAGCAAACUGAGGCUAGGGUUAGGGUUUGAAAAAGUAUGCCAUUUUCAGGCAGAAAAAUGUGUUUUAUGAUAGGGGACUAAAACUCUCCCUCUACUUGUGGUACACAACACUAAUCCCUAGCACACCGGGGACUCCCAGGGCACAACCACUGCCUUCUCCAAAAUAAACCAAUAAAAUUACUGAUUAAAUACAUACUUAAUGUCAGAGUUCGCGGGUGCGGACGGGCAGGCUGGCAGGAAGGAGGCAGGGAAGGACGCGGCAGGCAUGCUGAAUACGGGAAAAACGGGGAUUUAUUGCGGGGAAGACGGCUACGGGCAGGGCAGGACAGAACAACAGCACUAACAUCUAACAUCAAUGACGGACAUCGGACAGGGCAAGACGUGGACAGAUAUAGACAAAAGACAGGGUGAAAUAAGAAGACACAGCUGGGCAUGAUUGGGGAAGCACACGUGGAUGAUCAGGGGGCGUGGCACACACGAGAAUCGUAAGAGCCGGGCAUGACACUUAACUGAUCACUGUUUAUUAUUAUACGUAUGUGGAAAUGAUGUGUUUUCAGUUUAGCUUUCAAAGUGCUACAACAUUCAGUAGCUCUCAGGUUUUCUGGGAGAGAAUUCCAGCGUUUGACAGCAUGCUGAUUAAAAGCUACCUCCUUCCUUCCCCUCAGCUAAAUUUUAUGAAUAAUCAGUACAUUUCUUUCAGAUGAUCUGAGACAUCUGCCUUGGACAUACUUUAUAAUCAUUUCACUGAGAAUGGAUGGAACAAGACCAUGGUUGCAUCCAAAAUCACACACUACACACUAUGCACUUAAAUGAUAAGAACAUAAGAACAUAAGAACUAUACAAACGAGAGGAGGCCAUUCGGCCCAUCAAGCUCGCUUGGGGAGAACUAAACUAAUAGCUCAGAGUCGUUAAAAUCUUAUCUAGCUCUGAUUUAAAGGAACCCAAGGAUUCAGCUUGCACUACAUUAUCAGGAAGGCUAUUCCAUACUCUGACUACACGCUGCGUAAAGAAGUGCUUCCUUAAAUCCAGCUUGAAAUGUUCUCCCGCUAAUUUCCACCUAUGGCCACGAGUUCGUGUAUUUAAACUAAUGCUGAAGUAACUAUUUGGUUGAACAGCAUCCAAACCUGUUAGAAUCUUAUAUACCUGGAUCAUGUCCCCCCUCAAUCUCCUUUGCUUGAGACUGAACAGAUUUAGCUCAAGUAACCGUUCCUCGUAUGACAUUCCUCUAAGACCAGGAAUCAUUUUUGUGGCCCUACGCUGCACCUUUUCUAAGGCCACAAUGUCCUUUUUAAGAUAUGGUGACCAAACCUGCACACAAUAUUCUAGGUGAGGUCUCACCAAGGAAUUGUAUAAUCUUAGCAUUACCUCCCUUGACUUAAACUCCACACACCUGGAGAUAUACCCCAACAUCCUAUUGGCCUUUUUUAUUGCUUCCCCACACUGGCGAGAAUGGGACAUGGAAGCAUCAACAUACACACCAAGGUCUUUCUCAUGAUCAGCUACCUUUAUUUCAGUGACACCCAUGAAAUACCUGUACUUUAUAUUUCUGCUCCCUAGAUGGAGUAUCUUACAUUUAUCGACGUUAAAUUUCAUCUGCCAGGUAUCGGCCCAGUUACUAAUUAAAUCAAGAUCCCGCUGUAGCUGCUGAGCCACUAAUUCAGUAUCUGCUACACCACCCACCUUGGUGUCAUCUGCAAAUUUCACCAGUUUACUGUAUAUAUUGGUAUCCAUAUCAUUUAUGUAAAUUAGGAACAAUAGUGGUCCUAAAAUCGAACCCUGCGGUACCCCACUAUGAACGCAAGCCCACUGUGACAUUGUGCCUCUUAUAACUACUCGCUGUUUCCUAUCUGUUAACCAGUUAUCAAUCCAGGUCGCUACGGUACCUAAAAUACCAGUCGCUUUGAGUUUAAGUAGGAGCCUCUUGUGGGGGACAACAUCAAAAGCCAAAAAAGUACACAUUGCGGCAACUGGCGAUUCCUCAGUGCGCAAAUACAAAACUUUCCAAAUGCUCUGCGUUACCUUUGAACUGCUGAACUUUGGCCUUUAAUGAUGGAUGUGCUCCAGAAUAACAAGUACUGAACGAACCUCAGAAGUUGCGUCUAGGACUGGGGAGUUGAAUAGUAUGCAGUGUUCGCACACUUCGGAUUUUGAAAGGAUGUAGGGUGCACUUAACGACGCACGCCUAUGGUUUCGGACACACUUAUGUUUUGUGUACUAUUUAGUGGGGAAGUGUGUGAUUUCAGAUACAGCCCAUAUGAACAUUUAAAAGUUAGUAAGAGAACUUUAAAAUCAAUCCUAAUAUCCAGUGCAGGGAUUUAACAGUAGUGUGAUGCAUGUGAUCCCUGUGACUGGUGCAUGUUGCACUCUGGUAGCGGCUUUCUGGACCCCUUGUACAUUUGAAAUACAUUUCCUAGGUAGACCAGACGAGUGCAUUACAAUAGUCUAUUCUGCUUGAAAUAAAAGCAUAUACAGUGUACCAGGUUUUCAGUCAACAUAUAACAUACCCUGGACUCCAGUUAAUUUUUAACGCAAGUAACUGAAUUAGAAAUAUCAAGUUUAGGUAAGCUUUUACGGUCAAAUAAAAUUAGUAACUUGGGUGUGGUUUGUAUCAUAGUAACUUAGCAAUUAGCAAAAUACUGCAGCUGUCUGAAGAUGUUGAUCCACAUGGUGCUCUCCCAUUGAAUACAUGCAUCCGUCUUCUAACUGCGAACGCAGGUCAGGGUCAUGGGGGCUCUGUGGAUUGUCUUUGGCAGCACAGGGCAAAAGUAUCCAUUGUAAUAUCCAGUAUUCUAUUAAACUCUAACUGUUUAAAAUGACGUUGGCAGUUGCUUUCCCAGCUGAGGUAAUGAUGUUAUCGAAUGAGGUAUGGUACCCUUGAAAAACAUAUAUUUUUUAGAGUGUAAAAUGUAAGAUAAAGAUUGUUUGAAUUCUACAGUGCAGGGAUAUUUCCACAAUUCAAUAUUAGGCAAAACAAGUAACCAAAUUGAUUCCAGCUCCUAAAACAAAGGAGAUUUUCAGUUAAAAUGUAAUAGAAAGCAUGGAUUACCAAGGUUUAAAGACUAAGCCUUUUAAGUACUUCGAGCACUGAUGCCCUGCAAAACUCAGCAGGCACAGAGCUGGGGAAGGAUUCAAACUCCCAGCUUUGAAUGCCUGACGUUGCCCAGUGCACAACCCUCAAACCUCUAUGCAAUCUUCAAAUGAAGGACAAAUACAAAUUCAGCUUAAAGUAAAGCUUAAACCAAAUAAAGACAUAUGUACUGAUGGAAGCUACUACUUUGUCAAAAUUGAUUUGUAAUACUGUUGCUAAAUCUUCGCCGGUAAUUAAGUGGCACUCUGAUAAGUACUCUUACUUUACACCUCCAGUGCUGUGGGUUCAAAUUAUGUUGUGCAUGUUGAAUUUAAACGUUCUCUCUUCCCCUUGUGGCUUUCCUCAGGUUGCUCUCAUUUUCUUCUGCAGUCCAAAAAAGACCUGCAGUUAAGUGUUUCUUAAUCGCCCAUAGUCUGUACUCUGCAAUAGCGUGCCAUCCCAUUUUGUGUGUAUUGAUGUGGCCUGGGAUAGAUUUGAGUUAAAUGUAGGGCUCCAGCUAUCGAUUACUAAAAUAAUCGAGUAUUCUAUUAUUCCAUCGAUUAAUCGAGUAAUCAGAUAAGAAAUACUUUUGUCUUAAAGAGCAAUCGUAACUAUUCUUAAAAUGAAUAACUCAUGGGUUUCCAUUUUAGGAACAUUUUUAAUGAUUGACAAAAAGACAAACGUAAAACAACUGACAAAAGAACUAAACCCUUUUAGUGCAUUUAUGUACAUAUCUGUUUUGCUUUUUAAAAGAAAACACUUUCCACUUUCUUAAAUGCAAAAAAAAAAAAAAAGUCAAAUUACUGAAAAAAGGUAUGCAUAUAUCUUAAACUAAGGCAUAAAUUAAAAUGGCCUUUACUCAAUGUGUUCUUGUACAUUUAUAGGAGGCAUAAAAAAAAGUUGACAGGAUUGUAUCUCCUGGAUGAGGUAGGAAUGCUGUGUGCAUGUUCAUGUGAGUGUAAGUGAAUGUGAGUGAGAGCGUGUGUGUUUAAGUGUGUUAGAGAAUGAGUGUGUGUGUGUGUAAGCCUGGAGCAUGUGGCGGUUGGAUAAUUCAGUGUCUGAGUUUCACUGGCCCAAGGCUGUUGGGUAAUUUUUAUGUUAUAGUUAUAAUACAUUAUUUAUAUUAUUAUAAUUAUGUAAUAUUAUUCAUAUUAAUCUAAAUCUGCAGAAUAAUAUUACUAAAGCCUUGAAAUAGAUCUAGUUCAGUACACCCCAUGCUCCCCUUUAGACUCACCCCUGUAUGCUGCAAGAAUCAUUGCGACAAAGUGUGACGGCUGCUGUAAACCUCCUUCAAGUUGUCAAAUUUAAAUAUUGUGUCAAACUAAGCUAACAGUUUUAUCUGCAUACAAACAGCUUCUAUUUUAACUUGUAUAGCUUUACUGUAGCUUUGCUGCUGCGGAACACAAACGGCGGUGGAUGGGAGCGGCUGAAAACAUCGCUUUGCUUCACCUUUCAGCUUGUUGAACAGCUGGUUUAAGGACUUUCGCCAGCUCUUUACCAGUAAAGGUUUAGUAGCGAUUACAAGCACUGCUGUUGUUUUCCUUCACUCCACCUGAGUUCACCAUCUCUGUAACGGAACCGUCUCUUUGCUGUUAGUGUAUAGACAGGCUCCAGCUCCAUGCUAAUUAUACUACGACAGCAUCAUGUUCAGUGCUGUUGUGCUAUCAGUGUUUUUCUUGAGGGAAAUUAGGGGCUGCUUGGGCUGAAUCUUGUUACACUUUUUUAUUCACACAUAUGCCCAUAAAUAAGUUUCUAUCGCAGGUCUAUUUUAGCCGCGAAUGAGUGAAGCGCUGGCGCUUACUUUGUAUACUGGUUCUGCUCUGUUGACUGGAUGCAUAGACUAGGUGCUUUCUGAUGAGAUGUUGAAUCAUUAAGGUUGUGCUAUUGUGGUAAGCUAAUUCGGUUUUACAAUGGACACACUGUACAGUAUUUUUGCUUUUCUUUUGUUUGAAAUGGUCCCAAACUUUAGACAUUUUUCGUCAUUUUCUCUGAAUUUCCUCACUGUCUUCCUCCAUUGCGCCGUCAAAUCAAACCUGCUGCCUGUAAUGCAUCGUAAGCACACUGUGCGACAGUAAUAAUCCUCUGGGUGAAACACUCUGAUCACUAAGCAGUACAUAGUCGUGCGGAUUACACGAAGCACCGAAGCAAAGAAUUUGCAUCAAGGAUUUUUUGUAAUCGAGUUAUUCGAGUUACUCGAUGAAUUGUUGCAGCCCUAGUUAAAUGGCUGAAAAAUGGAAUCCCAUUCUCUUGUUUCUAAAAAAUUUCAGCUUCUCCGUAGAGACUGAUGAUAAAAAGCAGUGCAGCUUUCUAUUUUGGGAAACAAUCAAAUUUUCAUUUGUUCUGAAGGUGGAUUUAGUCGACAUGUAAGUGGUGUGUGCAAGUUCCCCAGCGGAGGAUUUUAUUGUGAUUGACUGAACAGUGUUAGCUGAUGUCACCUUUGACUUAAGACGGUGUCUAUUCCUCAUCCGUAAUUUUAUUUCUCUGGUUUUCAAUAAUAUGUGUUUUUAUUUAGGCACUCCAGCCAUUACACCGGGUAUAAUGAUGAUAAAUGAUUAUAAUUUCCAUCAUGUGACAUGUUAUAGUAUCUUAUCCAAGGGUGUAUCAAUGACAACAUGAAUAACUGGAUAAACAAUAAUACACCUCUGUAGAGCUGUUGCAGUGCUUUCUUCAGUUGGUGUUUUAUGACUCAGAACUUAUUAAUAUGCUUGAUGAAUAGUGAGAGAGUGAGUGGAUACUGGUGCCCGGCGCAGAGGAGUCCUUUGAUUUGUAGACUGCCUUUCCUGUCCCAAGGGGCGAGACAGGAAGGAAAUUAAUGAUCUGGUGAUGGCAUCAAUAAUAGCUUAAUGGAGCAUCCAGAUGACCUGCAACCAUUUCAGAGACUGUCAUACAUAUGCCAAGUAUCCAGCUCUAAAAUGACUUAUUUUUUUACUUUAUUCCAUUGUGAAAGUGGGACAACAACUUUAUUUAAAAAAAUUUUUAAAGCUUUUUUUAUUAUUAUUGUAUAAAGGGUACAAAACUAUGCAUGCAGCUAAUCACACAGAAUGUCCACGGACAUUUAAAAUUAUUACUGCUCAGUCUCUGUCUAGUACUAUCUAGUAUAGUGUAUAUAUAGUAUGUGUAUCCAUAUAUUAUGGAUAUGUAAAAAGCUUUCCAAUGUAUUUGUACUUGCGCUUCUGCAAAUGGCAAAUAAGGCAUCAUUUAAUUUUAUUUAAUUUAAUUAUGGUUUAAUUUGAGGGCUUCGACAUCUUGAGCAGGAAUUCCAUGUCUCCACCAGGGGGUACUGUUUGUCUAUAAGUCGACAAGGGACCUUUCUGGAAAAUAAGGUCUUACGAAUUUGUGCAGUGUAGCGUUUCCCUCCACAAUGACAUGACAUACACCUUGAGGUUUCCUCCAUGUGAUCCCUGGAGAUAAAGACUUCUUUGUGGUGUCUGACGCCCUGAUUCAGAAAUCCCUGAGCCAUCUCCCUCGCUCCCUGGUGGUAAUGACAGACGGUGGGCUUGUUUGCUGAGGAGCCGUGAUGAUACAAACUGCAGGACUUCAGUCUGUGUGCUAAAUGUGUGCUGAAACAGACAGAACUUGACUUUUGUGUUAUUCAUUUGAAAAGAUACUCAUAGGAGCCAAACUCAUUAAGAGAAACUCGCAGGAUCAGCUGUAAAUACAGAACAGAACAGAAUGAAAAUAAUUUUCUGAUGAAAUGGGAUAAUCCAGAGUGAUUAUUUUUAAAUUGCGUCUUAAUUGCAGUUUCUGUUCAGAUGAACAGGCUCUAAUAUCUCUUUUGCUACAGUUGUCGUUAAUUAGGUCGAUGACAUCCUCAGUGUUGACAAUAUUUGGACUUUAAAUAAAUCUGCUGCAGGUUUAAAUGAGGAAGGUUUAUUACAGUAGUUAUUUAAAGGGAGUCUUUUCAAAUAUAUAUUAUACAUGUCUAAAUUUUAAUAGCAACCCAUCGAUAUAUAAUUUUCAUACUUUGUGUUAAAAGGUGCAGAAAAAAAAGACAUUUAGUUACUUAUAUGCAUUUGCAGCAUAAUGCUGGAACACCAGGCUUGUAAAGUAACCAAAAGCCGAGGUGUUACUUCCUUGGUACCUUUGGUAUACCGGAAUAUUGGAAGAGUAUGUUAAAGUCUUCAGACAGAUUGUUUUGUUGUCUUCAUGUCGAUGAUAGUGAUUGCACUUGCUGUUGUACUGAAUGGGAUUUUGGGGUCGAUUGUAACCUUUACAGCAGUCAGUCUGUCAGUCAUCUGUACCUGCAUGGAAGCCAUUUUUUGUACAAUGGGCGGCAUUGAUUUCACCUGUGAAUACACCAUAAAGGGGGGAGGCUGCACCCAUGCAAAAUCCAAUACCACAGCAACACUUGCCCUUUUCUUAGAAGUUCUGAUUUCUCAUGGCUCGAGAGAAUGUUUCCGUAAAUCACUUUAAAAACUUUUUUUGUUAAAAAGGUUUGAAGCCUUUCAGUCAUUGCAUUGUGCUUGCUAACAGAGAUCCAACACUUAAUUUUCUGGAUUUUUUAACAUGACCUACUUGUUAUGCGAUUAGAACAGGUUGCAAUUUCUGUAUUUGAGAUAGUUAGUCUGUAAAAUGAAUUUUUUGUUAUUUUGUACAUUAUGACAUUAUGGCAGCGCUGACCACUGUUCAUAUUCGAAAAUCAAGCAGAAGAUCAAAUAGAGAUGAAUGGUUUUAUUUACAUGAAAUAAUAUACAAAGGAUAUGCCUUUGGUGUCACUUAGCUUGAUCUUUGUGAUCUUUCCCUUUGUGGAAGUGUUUUAAUCUCCCAGCACCCUGACAGACACUUAGUGGUGAUAAAUCUUGUGAGAAAAUGAGCCUUUACCCUGUGAUGGAAAAACAACAUUGUAAAGCAUAACGACUUACCCAAUAUACAUUUAUUUAAUGUAACUUUGUAUUUUAUAAGUGAGCGUGAGGCAUUUCUGAUUUUCAAUGCUCACGUUACUUGCGUUAUUUUGAUUUUAAGCCAAAUGCAGAGUAUCACAGUGUUCAAGCCUGGAUCCUAAUUUCUUGUUCUAAUUUCCAACCACUAGGUGGAGAACACAGUACAUAGACAUCUCAAAAAAGUCUUGCAGUGUGCUGGACAGAGCCAUGUAGUAUUUUCUCGUGUUUCCUAUCCAUUUUUUAAUGUACAUGUGGCAUUUUAGCAUUGUAUAUAUGACUUUUGAAAGGGCAAGGCCUAAUUCAUUACUGUCCUUUGCCUAACAAGAGAGUAUGAGGCACUGGGCUGCCUAUUAGAUAAAAGUCCUCACUCUUAAAUUAUGAUUAAAGAGAAUGGGCACUAUUAAGCAGCUGGGCAUCCAGCCCAUCCUGGGAAGCAGAGGCCUCCGGUCUUACAUGUGGCUAAAUGGCUUUGGAGAUAUCUGCAUUUAGGUCAUUUGUCAAGGUAAUUCCUAACCAUUUGGAGGUUUUGUAUGUUGUCGUGUUUAGAAAGAGCAUGGUAAUUUAGAGCAAGGCAGAUCAUUUGUGAAAAUUUUUUUUCAGGGGAGGCAAAUGAUAAUUGUGAAAGCGGUGUAGUAAUAUAGCUUUAAAAGUGUUCAGUUGGUCCAGUGAAUAAAGUAAUGCUUGCAGUUAACUACAGGUCGUAGUGGAUAAAGUAAGAAAGAAAACAUUUAUCUAUGGUGAAGGAAUCUCAAUAACCCAGUUAUUCAAGAAACUGGAUCUUCAGAUGGCACAGAGUCCACCGUUUGGUUUAAUUUGGUGUACUCCGGUAGGAACUUGAGAAAAAAAAAACUCAUCUCUGGUUUGCAAAGUGUGUGACAUAUAUUUUGAGACACAGUUUAAAAUGUCCCUGACAGUAAGCUGGAUGGGAUUUCAGAUGUACUGUAAAUGUUGCAUCUUAAAAAUGUUUUGCUGCUUCUUUAUGACCAUUAUCAAAGUUGCGUGGCCAUUCUGUUGUACAUCGGAAUGCAGUGAAACUUAAAGAGAUUCAACCAGGCACUGGUAAAGCAGAUACGUAGGUCUGCUUUAUGCUUUAUUAGAGCCUCAGACCGCAGAAUGCAGGUUGCAGGAUUCUCUACUGUAGCCUGGCAUUAAUGUAAACUUUCAGAAGUUCUUUGAAAAGGAUGUUACUGCCCCAUAAAUAAUGCAGACAUUUACUGUGUAUAUUUCACGAAGAUAGAAUGACUGUAGGUCUUCAUGCUAUUUAAUAUGAGGUUAUGAGGAAACACAUCUCUUUCAGGCAUUAAUUAACCUAAAGAAUGAAACUUCAAAUGAAAACUCUUAUGUGACUGUCCUGCAAUUAUAAUUAGUCUUUUGGGAACGUAAGAUACAAAUCACAUAAUAAAUAACUGUAAAGAAUGGCAUGCAAGUGUUUUUUCUUGUUUGUACUUUAUAUUAGGUUUGGAAGCAACACAUGUUUGUAAUGUUCAGCUUAAAACUUUCAUUGAUGGGCACAUUUAUGUUUAAUCAGGAUUUUCAGGCAAGUUUUAAAAAUAUUUUGUAUAAGAUUUUAGAAGUAGCUAAUUGUGAAUGUAUGCAUGUAAUGUAAUACUUUAUUAGAAAAUAUACUGGCAUAACCUGCCCAAAGUAAAUGAAGUAUAGUUGCCAUCACCUAAUACUGAAAAUAAGAAAUGAGCGUCCGAAGAACGCGUCUUGUAAAAGAUGUUCAUUUCUACUACUGACAUCAUAAUUUAUGAAUCCGGAAAGUAACAUUUCCGACAAUGAAUGCUUUGACUUGGCUCCGAAUGGUUGUGCUUUUCAUCAUGUUCUUUGCAAAGUAUACAGACAAAGGCAAUAAAGGAGCCGUCAUUUAUGCCACCAACUAAGGUUUCCUGAGACAAAUAUUGGUUUUAGCCGAUACUUCUAUACCACAGAUAUCCUAACCACAGAUAUUCAUGUAACGUGUAAUAAUUUGUCGGUACAUCUGUAUGAUAGUUGUAAGUUGUACCAGACAUAAAAGCACUAACCCUGUAUCACUAGGGCUCACUAAUUUUAUUAACCGGACAUAGAAAAAUCUUUUGACCCAGAACUGAUUUUAUUAUAACAAAGGUUGGGCCCUCUAGAAUUAAAAUGUUGUGAAUAAAGAUGUAUAGCAAAUGGAAAAAAUCUGAUUUUAGUAACGGGGAAUAACCAUCCAUAUGUCCAUUCUAUAACCGUUUAUCCUAUUCAGGGUCGUGGGGACCAGAGCCUAUCCCAGGAGUUACAGACACUAAUGGGGAAUAGUUCAUAUUUAGAAUUUAUCGAUCAUUAUUGACACUCCACAGCACAACAACGAAAUGUAUCCUCUUCAUUUAACCCAUAUGUGACAUAGCAGGGGGCAGCUAAUUCAGCGCCCGGGGAGCAGUGCUUGGGGGCGGUACCCUUCUCAGGGUACCUCAGUGGUGCCUUGCUGGUCGGGGAUUCAAACCUGCAAUCUUUCAAUUACGCUUCCCUAACCAUUAAGCCCCCACUGUCCACUUAAUGGUUGCAUCGAUCUAUUAAGCUUUUAUCUAUUAAAUUAGAUACGUAGCUAUGACAAUAUGUCACAAUGGUUAUAUGCAGAUUAUUAGAUCUACAAGAAAAGACUGCUUUCUUACGUUGUAUUUUGGCCGGCCGGCCGGCCAUCCAUCCAUCCAUCCAUCCAUCCAUCCAUCCUUUACCUGUACCCUCUUGUUCUAUGCACGGUUGCGGAGAUUAUCCUGGAAAGUACGAGUGUAAGUCAGGGAACGAACCAUCAUUGGAUAUACAUGGGAUGUUGGCUCAUUAAAAAAAAAUAUAUAUAUAAUUUUGCCCAGUUUGUCAGAUAAGAGUAUUUUUUUUUUCAAAUAUACUGUUAGGUUAAGGACUAAGUUAAGAUCAAAUAUCUCUAUAUUUGUCAGGUACACAAUAAAUUUUACAUGAACAUGCAGAAGCUAAUGCAGGACAUAGUGUGUGUUUGUCCCAAUACACACAAGUAAUUACAGAUAGUCAUUAAUAUUCAUUGGAAAGCAUGAUACAGUAUGGCCAAUUAUAAUGAAAUCUAUCAGUAGGGCAUGGGAUUUAUUGCAGGGACAGUAUUUUUCAGGGAAUUACAAAGUGCAAAACUGAUAUCGAAGGAUAUUUAAAGAAGGCAACGAUAAAAUGCAUGAUAUUUUAUGUGGCAAUACACUAAUACAUAGAUUGUAUUUAGCCAAAUAAAUGCGUACAAGCACAUGAAUAGUGAAUAUGGCUUGUCUGAUUUUCCAGAGAUAAUGUGUCUCUUGUGCUAUUGAUGGUGCGACUUCAGUUUGCGCUGAAGUGCGUCACUGCUGGGAAGCAGCUGUGAGACUAUUUACAUGGAGGGGUUAGUAAAUUGAAGAGUAGCCAAGUGUGGGGAAAAGCGUUUAUUCUCUUCAAAUUUAUUUAAAUGACCAAGAAUUUUUUCUUAAGAAACAUGGCUUGUAAUGGCACCUCAUAUUCAGAUCUCCACCGAGAGAUAAACACCUUCAUCAGUACAUACACCCCAGGGAACAUGCAAUGGGACAUUAAUGCAGGUAAUGCGCUUUCAGUGGCAGAGUGUAACACUGUUAAUCCUUGUUAAUCCAAAAACUUUAAUAAUUCCAGAAGUGCAUGAUCAGCCUCAGUACACUACUUCAAAUGGUCUAAGGUGUGCCGACCAUGACUAGCACUUCAUUUGCAUAUAAAUUGAUUUUAAUUGUAAAAAAAAAAAAAAACAACCUGAACUCAUAUUUUAAGGUUUCGUACGGCUUUAAGAAAGAUUAGGCCGGGCGACAGCUGAAGGGCUUCUUUAAACAUGAUUAACGGGUUCUGGUCGACCUCAGGGGCGUCACAUUUUACACACUUUAGUGGAACGGCUGCACAUGACAGGGCUGUUCAUAAUGACCUGUGCCUGCAUAUAAUGGCAGGAGGACUCACUGUUUCUAUGAGCCCUGUGCUUGUCUCCAAAGCCAGUUCUCCAGGUCAUUAUCUACACUGGACAACUUUUAUGCAGUACAAGGAACCGCAGCGAUUGAUUUCCCUUUUAUCCGGGUAACAAAUUAAUCGGUACGUCUCCAAAACAGCCCCUUCUUCUCCAUUUAAAUGUAAUGACUUCUUAGCUCUUAAUUCUCUCAGCUGUUAUGAAUUGACUGACGAAGACAGUGACAUCACACGGCUUCCUUCACACGAUAGAUUUGCAGCUCAGUAUGACAAUCUGUCUUCCUUUGAUGGCUGCAGGUUGGUCCGGCACAUUGGCCUGGACGGGAAGGAGUGGCGGAGUGUGGAGAAUCAGUGCGGAUGGAGGGGUGGAAUGAGGAUGAGCAUGGAUGGGAGCAGAAAAUUAAAACUUUUGCAUAAAUUGAUUACAUUUUCAAUUGGUGUGAUUAAUAUUCUGCCAGCGGAGAGGUUCCAUUGAUGUUGCUUUCCUGUCAGUGGAGAUAAAUGGCAAGAAUUAAGGAGGUCAGGAAAAUAAUGUGCCCAGGCUGUGUUCGUAUUGAGUUUUAGUAUUUUGCAUUUUUGUCUUCUGCAUUGAUUAAAAAAAAAAAAAAAAACAGUAUUAAGGACUAAGAACUCUGUCAUUACUUCAUUUGGGCUUUUGGUCAGUUCAUUCUAUUGAGCUAUGGUGUGUUUUAGUUAAAGGCUAUAUAGACGAAUAGCAGGAUGGUUAGUUAAAUGGUGUACAGGUGACACUGUGUGGCAGGUCUGCCCUCCUGGAGAUGGCACAUCCCCCACCCCCCCGGUGUAGGAAGAUGUAAGACAGGUAUGGCUUAGCGACCAGCCGCUAAGUUGCUAACCAUAUGUCCAGUAAGGAUCAGGACCAUUUCACUUCACCUCAGGUCCGAGUUCUUUACCUCAACCCCUGGAUUGCCUUGCCGCUUUCCUCUGGCAGCCUACUGCAAAGCCCAUUUGAGAGACUGUCAAAAGUAAUAUCCACACUAGGUGUCAAUUAAACACCCACAGACGAUCUCAGGUGAGGGAUUUGGCUGGCUUGUUGAGGUAUCCUCUCUCUUUCACCCCUUCUUUGCAGGGUCCCCAAUUGCCUUGACUCUUACCCCCAUCUUGGAUGCUGUCACCGGCACGAGAAAAACCAUAAGCAGACAGUUCAGCUUGUCUUGCUACAUUGUCAUCAGCAUUUCUCCUCUACUUCACAGUGAUACACAGCUGCCCCCUCCCUCUCUCCCUUCCAGUACUCCCCCCCCCCCUGGGCUCUGGCCCGUUUACUAAUGUCUGCAUAGCAUUUCAGUUCUAUAUGAUUAGCUCAUCCGGCCACAUUUGCAUCUCGUCAUUUCUUUUAUCCGCAUGCAAAUGACUCAUUUACGGUUACGCCAUAAAAUAUUUAACCCUCAAAAUAUAUGGGUUAAGCUGUAGGCCUGAAUAAGCUCUCCUCCUAAAAAUGCCCUGGAUGUUCACAGUGAAAUCUUGUAGCGUUUUCCUGGUCCUAGAAAACAAACUCAACAGGACGAAGUACGAGAAAAUGCUCCGUCUGUGAAAAGAGUACCUUGUUGUUAUUGAGCUGCAGUGUACAGUGCAAAGCUGAGUUCCACACUCGCUAUUCAUCAAAGCUGAAUGUAACUUCAAGCAUCAGAAAGGUUGACGCGAUGUUGAGGACGGAUCUGGUGGAAAGAGAAGGGUGUCACAGAGGACUUAAUAGUUGUGUGAUGCCUUUAUAAGGAGACCUAUCUCUUCACAUGGUAUAAACGGUAUUUAACUGUAUCCUCAUACACCGUUAUUAUGCGUACAUUACUUAUACAUUUCACUUGUACCUUUAUAUGCAUUUACAUGUUAUGGAGGUUAUAAAUCAUCCAUCCAUCCAUCCAUUUUCCAAACCGCUUAUCCUAUUGGGUCGCGGGGGGUCCGGAGCCUAUCCCGGAAUCAAUGGGCACGAGGCAGGGAACAACCCAGGAUGGGGGGCCAGCCCAUCGCAGGGCACACUCACACACCAGUCACUCACACAUGCACACCUACGGGCAAUUCAGCAACUCCAAUUAGCCUCAGCAUGUUUUUGGACUGUGGGGGGAAACCGGAGUACCCGGAGGAAACCCCACGACGACACGGGGAGAACAUGCAAACUCCGCACACAUGUGACCCAGGCGGAGACUCGAACCCGGGUCCCAGAGGUGUGAGGCGACAGUGCUAACCACUGCACCACCAUGCCGCCCCGGUUAUAAAUCAGAAUCCCAUAAUCAUUGUAAUUUUUUUUUUUCGUACUGUAUGAAGGGUCACGGUUACUCAGAAUGACCUACAUAGGCAGGAAUGCACAAUACAGGUACACUGAUGGACAAAACUUACAAUCAGUACUUAUAAAUCUUGUACUUUCCUGUCCAGGUAAGCCAGUCAGAUAAGCCCCCAAGAGUGAUUCCCUUUUGAGAAGCAGAUUUAGAGGUGAUGUCCGCGAAGCAUUUACAUCAGUAAGCCGUGUACGCAGAGGGUGUGGGGAAGGACUUGCAGUUCUUCUAGGAUUUGAGGCGAAGCUUUGCAGAUCUGCUUGACGAAUGCAUGCUUUUGUGUGCUCACUGAAUUCCACGCAGUCAAUCCGCUGUAGGAUAUAAUUUCAAAGUGUUAAUAAUUAUGUUAUAAUUAUCCCUAGGAGCCCAGGUAAUUAUAUCAUUAAUGAGACAACCAGUAUUGCUCAUCAAUAAAAAUAACAAACUUAUGAGGACUCUGGUCACUGGUUCUGUUUUGCAUGUAACCUGACGUUCCAUGUGACCAGAAAUCCAUCUAUGCAUCCAUCUUCCAGCUGGCAAAACGGAUCGUCACUUGGACUUAAGUCCCUCGAUGUCCCAUUGUUCGUCCUGCUGUUUGGGAUCCAGACAUUGGCAUUUGAUUUUCACCCUCCCUGUCCCGUAUAGCACUGUGGUGAAGUAAAAGCCCACUUGUAUAUUAAAAAGGGACGUUGCUCUUCUGCAAUACUGUUCCUGCACCUUGAUACUUUAAAGCAUUCACAGUACUUUGCAGUUAACUUUCACUGUGCUCUGAGUGUCAGUACUAAAACGUCCUUUAAGUAAAAGCCAGAAUAACUCACUCAUUACUCAUUAUAAGCAUAAGGUUCCCGAAGGAAAUCCUAUAAUCUCUGUCGUACUUGAUAAAUUCCUGAAAGACAACUUGCUAGAUGAGUGAGCAACUUCUAAAUCAAUUGCAAUAUCCUGCUUAGUUACUGUACUGAUAUGUGGCACCUUGUCAGCACUUUUCCGGCAUGGUAAGACCUCUGUAGAAAGACGUGUACUUCAGAUCUCUGGGGAAAUGCCAGGAGGGCAGAACAUUGCUGCACUUUAUUCUUGGGCUAUUUGGGAAGAGCAAGGUGGGAACACAGCUGUGAAAUCAAGCUUGUAUUCUAAUUCAGAAAGGCAUACCAGCCAUGCAGCAAAAACACCCUGCUCUUACCCUUCAUUGGCCCCUGGUCUAAAUUAUACAGUCCCAAGCACCAUGAACGGUCUAGUGUGACAACACAGUUGACCUUAGGCCUCGUGCUAGAAUAAAGUAAAAUGUCGCGCCUAUUAUAAAUGACAGUACAAGGCACGGAAGUCGCUUUUUUCAGGUUCUAGUUUCUUUGUUCCUUCCCAUUAUAACUUUUUUUUUCCAGGAAAAGGAAAGAAAAUGCACAGCUAAAGUUUUAAAUUAGACUUGUAACAUGGGAACAGGAAAGAACAGAUUGGCUGUGCUGUGUUGUCAAACUGAAAGACAAAUGAAGCCAAACAAAAAGAAUGACUGCAUUUCAUUACCCCAUCCCAGAUACAGAACCGCAAGCCUCUUUGCAGCACAUUUAAUAACUGAUUUAUAAUUUGUCUGAUUUAUUAUCUUCUGUCAGUUUGUUUAUUCAGCAGAUUUGAUACUUCUUGGCUUUUGUUCGUUUCUUUGAUGGAAAAUAUAUAUAUUUUUUAUUUUGUUGCAAGUUAGACACUUAUUUGUGAAAUGCUCUCGGUGCACUUUGCUCAUCGCUUUAAUUAUCUAUGACAAAUGUACAGGAAUAUGGUACAUGGUGACUUCCCCGUUUUUUCGUUAGCUGUUUAUAAAAUCGAUACUCCUUCCAUGCAUUUCUUUACCUGUUUUUUCAUCUGCUUGUGUUGAAUCAAUGCAUCAACAAUAUAUGCAUUUAAACACGCCUGUGAAAUAAAGGAAGUAAUCAAUUAAACCUGUUUUUCCAAGUGUUACAUUAUAUUAGUUUCCCAUCCAUCCAUCCAUCCAUCCAUCCAUCUUCUUUACCCGCUUGUCCUAUUCAGGCUUAUGGGGGUCCAGAGCCUAUACCUGAAGCUAUGUGUGCAAGGAAUUAUUCAGGAUGAGGCACCAACUCAUCAGAGGGCACACCAUUCACACAGUCUGGUAAUUUCAGUUCACCUUAGCCUGUUUUAGGCCCACUGGAGGAAGACCCACACCAACAAGGGGAGAAUAUGCCAACUGGGGAGGGAUAGAGACUCGUUUCCUUAAAAUUAAAUUUAUAGGGAUGGGUCAUCCCUUAAUUGUAUCAUAAGGCUGGAUGCACUAACCGAGCUUAACAUUUCCACAUGGCCUGUUGGACUGGGGGGUGACUUCAAAGCAGAAGCAUGCAUGUGUAAUAAAAGCCCCCCAGAGCAAAAGCAUGUAUGUGUAAUAAAAGCCCCCCAACGCAAAAGCAUGCAUGUGUAAUGAAUUCCCCUCUCACCCACUGCAUCCGCUUUGCUGUGCUUGUUCACGUAAAUUAUACCACAUACCCUCUGUUUUAAUGACGGAAAUUCAGCUUUUCUUCAUGGUGGAAUCCAGGACCAAACAUAAAGCUCACGUGCAGCUUGUGUUGGGUAAGCAGAUGGUGAAUUUCGAAUGAACUAUUGCAUUUCAGAAAAGUUCUAAAAACACAACUUUUGAUUUCAUUUUAUAUGAUUGGUUGUAUUAAAAAUUAAUGGAGCGAAAGAUGAUAAAACAUUUUUAUUAAAGUCUGACCUGUAGCUAGGAAGUUAUAUGAAACGCAUCACGAUGCAUGUAAUAGUUAAAAUAACAGUUCUUAUCGAUAGAUAUCGUAUCAUUUCAUACUACUAAAAAUUGUGUUAAACUGCUUUAAAAAUAAGUCUGAGAAUAAAAAGGAUGAUCUAGCUGCUGCACUUUGUAUGCCCCCCACCCCUCCCAAGGUGCUGCGUGGAGCCCGAAGACUUUUUCCUCGCCACUGUCGCCUCUGGCUUGCUCACUGGGGGCUUUCAGCAGGGACAGCGUAAAGCGCUCCGAGACGAUGUAAUGUUGUGAAAAUGGGGUAUAUAAAUAAAAUUGAAUUGAUCUUCCUGUAAGUCAUUUUAGAAAUAAUAUAAUGAAAACCAAAAUUAAAUGAAACAAAAUUAAAAAUUAAACAAAGCCAAAUGCGUUAAAGAUAAAAAUUCAUAUGGGGAGACUUGAUUGAUUAUUAAUUAAUAAGUUACUUGUGUAUUACUUAUGAUAUGUAGUAGCAGCAAUUUCAUUAGUGAACAUGAAACCCAGGAAUGAAUUACCCUGCAUUGUACAGCGACCUUGAGUGUUUUGAAAGGCGCUUAUAAAUAAAAUGUAUUAUUAUUAUUAUUAUUAUUAUUACCCCCUAAGACGUGGCCCAUUUUGUUCACUUUACCUUGGAGCAGAUUCCCAUUUUUCUUUGAGCUAUAUUUCAUGGGCUACUGUAAAAAAAUUAAGUUUGCGACAGUUUGAAGUUCACGCAUGUAAUGUGCAACGUAACUGUCCAGGCAACUUGAUCUCUACCGAACUGCCUAUCAAACUAACAACGUUUCCCCCUCUUUCUGCAUUUCCACAUAAAUUGUUAGAAUAUGAAAUAUCUGUUCAAUGUGCUGAAAUGUCCCUUUAUUUUAUCAGGGACUGGAAACAAUGCUCACAUUUUAUGUCAAAUAUGCAAAUAUGAAAUAAGAAAUUAAAAAACUACAGUUAAAAAAAAAACAUUUUAAAAAGUAAUUUUAAUAUAGGGCGAUAAGUAAACACAACUAAAUGACCUUUGUAUUGUAUUACAUUAUAACUGCUAUAUUACUUUAUCUCUCUCAGCUGAGUCCAUGACAGUCACACAUGACAGUUUGACGGAAGAGAGAAACUAACCAAUUAUUACUGGAAGACCUUUCAUUCUAGUGUCUGUAAAUUAAUCCCACAGAAGAAAACAAAGGCUAUGUGGAAAAACAAUUAUACAGCUUGAUUGUAGUGAAGUUCAUAUGCAUUUAUCUUAUUCCUCGUAGGCUGAAGUUGUUUUGACCUGCACAGGAAUCCCAAGGGGAAAGGAAACCCUAAAUCUGUUCACACAUACAGCGUAUGCAGCUUAGCCCAGCAAGGCAGAGCUGCCGAAAUUGUAUAUAUCUUGACUAGUUUGCACAGGAUUGAACAUUUCAGUAAAUGAACCCUUCAGAGACUGUGUCCAUGAAUCUGUCGGAGCCUGGCUAGGAGAAUCAGGCCAAUACCUUUGAUAGAAGUUCAAGGUAUAUCCCACUCUGCAUGGAAGAGCAAUGAGUCUAACACUGCCUUCCUGGGCACAGGGUCGUGAUAUAUUGACACAUGGCCUAGUGCACUUUCCCUACUGAAAAUGACCAUAAUGUUUCAUGUCUAAGCAUUCAACUACAAGGUCUAGUUUAUCACACAAAUAGCAGCCUUACCAAUAGCACUUGCUGGGAGAAUGUUUUAAUGUCUGCAUUGAUUAUGUUCAAUCAGGGUUUGUGAUUUUUGCAUUUUAUCGGGACGUUCAUUUAAAAGCCCAACAAUGCAACUCUGAGAGAUGUUUAAUUAUUUUGUUUUGCUUUAUUGAGUGAAUGUUAAUGAGUCCAUUAAAAUGUAAUAGUCUCAUUUAUAUGUAAGAAGUCAUCUAUAAAAAACCUGAAUAUAAUUACAUUUUAUUUUAUUGCGUUUCAUUUUUAAUGUCUGCUCUCAUUAUUUUGCAUUGGCUGCUGGUGAUUGCAUUCUGUUUUGCAAUAGCUUUGCUAUGCUUCCCAAUAAAGGCAGUAGUUUUCCAUGAAA